rnacentral:rRNA from 1 species
AUUGAACGCUGGCGGCAUGCUUUACACAUGCAAGUCGAACGGCAGCACGGGUGCUUGCACCUGGUGGCGAGUGGCGGACGGGUGAGUAAUGCAUCGGAACGUGUCCUGAAGUGGGGGAUAACGCAUCGAAAGAUGUGCUAAUACCGCAUAUUCUCUGAGGAGGAGAGUAGGGGAUCGAAAGACCUUAUGCUUUUGGAGCGGCCGAUGUCUGAUUAGCUAGUUGGUAGGGUAAUGGCUUACCAAGGCGACGAUCAGUAGUUGGUCUGAGAGGACGACCAGCCACACUGGGACUGAGACACGGCCCAGACUCCUACGGGAGGCAGCAGUGGGGAAUUUUGGACAAUGGGCGCAAGCCUGAUCCAGCAAUGCCGCGUGAGUGAAGAAGGCCUUCGGGUU